UGGGCGAGAGCCUGAACCAGCCAAGUAGCGUGCAGGAAGACGGCCCUAUGGGUUGUAAACUGCUUUUAUACGAGAAUAAUUUGAUGCACGUGUGCGUUAUUGCAUGUAUCGUAUGAAUAAGGACCGGCUAAUUCCGUGCCAGCAGCCGCGGUAAU
rnacentral:rRNA from 1 species